rnacentral:lncRNA from 1 species
GCUGUUGGAAUGACAAGGACGUCCCCGGGGCCAAACGAAAACAACCCCACCCCCUGCGGCGCCACCCGGCUGGGAGCGGAGAGAGACUGACGGCGGAGGCGGGGGUCAGGGCGCGGACCCGGACCCCAGCCCCAUGGGGGACAGAGUCCAAAAAAACCGGCCGGGUGGAGGAUGCAGCCGGGCGUGGUGGCUACAAGGAAGUGCCCUGGUGUUAAGAACUCAGCCUCUGAAACCCGCCGCCCAGCUUCGAGUCAGCGACGUACUUUUGUUGUCCCGGCCUUAGUAUCCCCGCUGCAAUAAGAGUGUAAGCUCCUAAAGGCAGAAAUCAAGCUGACCUAAGCAAAGACCUGAAGGAGCUAUGAGGACAUCUGGCAGAAGAGGUAAUGCUACGGGCAAGAGGCUGGCCAGCGGCUAUAAACAAGUUAAGGGACUCCUCUGAGCCUCAACAUCCCAUCCCUGGAAUGGAGAGAAGGACGUCUGCCCUGCUUAUCUCAAAAGGACAUCGAUGAGAUCAUAGAAGCCCAAGCUGAGGUUACAUCUGAUGCUAAAAACUAGACGAGAAAGGGUCUGUCUGACCCUCAAGGUCAGCAAUGUGUGUGCAACUCCCCUCUCGGGGUCUGGGGACGCAGCCAUGUGUUCCAUCGCACACCAGGCUUUGGGGAUAUUGUAGGGCUCAGACCGCCGACUGCUAGUUUAUUAAAAGAGCAGCUGCCAUCCCGCCGCGCAGUGGGACAGAGAGCUGCAGCCCGGCGCAGGCUCGACCCCGCAGGGAACCGCGACCCGGGGAUAGGCAGCUCUGGACUGCACUGAUCUGGGACUCUGUCGGCUCUACAGACACACACACGCGCGCGCACACACACACACAUGCACACACGCACGCACACACACACGCACGCACAGCCGCUAGGCCUAGAGUUUAUUUUUCCAGGGGCUGGUGGGGACUCCGCUCCCGCGGCGGGCGGCGGCACUGGAAUGUUAAUUGAAACGGAGCUGGCGAGCGCGGCGCAGAUAAGCGUCGCCCAGCAGCGUCCCCGCCUGCGGCUCCCCGAAUCAGCGAUCCGGGAAGGCCCCGCCGCCUCUCUGGCCGCUGAGGGUUUUCUUUUCCACGCUGAAGGAGUGGAACGCGCGCGGAGGCAGCUCGGCGCCCGCAAACCCCCGGAGUCAGCCCCCGACGGUCUGUCCCAGAACUAAACGGUCUCCGCCACCCAAAGCCGAGAAGCUAAGAGGCCGGCUGGGGGAGGGUGACACGGAGAAAUGGAGAAGCCCACCCAGCGGUUACAUACCGGCAGAUUUUUAUUUCCUUUAACUGGUUGGUUCUUCUAAACAUUUAAUGCAAGAAAUCUCUCGGCCCGCUUCACUUUACUCUCCACCCAUGCUCUUCCCCUAACCCUGAGAAUUUUGCACAGAUUUUCGGGGUUCGCGCGGAGCGCCUCUGAAAGUGAUGGCGGACAAACCGUCAAAAAGGCCUCAGCAUAGCAAUUUAGGAAAAGAUCGUAUCAGAUCCUUAAUUCACACCAUACACUCUAAUACACUCGAAAGUAAGCAAAGAAAUUAUAACAAAUACCAGAAUAAAAUAUGGGUGAAUUCCUUUUUAACCUCAGUGUAGGAAAAGAAAGGUCUUCUCACCAUGACUCAAAUCAAGAAGCAAGUAAACAUAACACAAAUGAUUACAUUUUAUAAAAUGCAUGGUAAGAAAUCACUAUAAAAGAAGUCAAAAGACAAUUGUCAAACAGGAAGAAAAUAUUUGCAACAUAUAGCACACAUAACCAAAGUAACUGAUAUUGAGAAAACUUAAAAAUUGAAAUUGGGAGAUGGAUACAAUUUGCGUUUGUGUAUGUAUGUGUAUAUAUUUAUGUGUUUUUAAUUGUUAUGUAUAUUAUACAUGUAUAUGUAUAGAUACAUACACAUAUGUAUAUAUCCCUUAAACAUAUAAAAGGAUGUUGCACCUCACUUGUAAUUAGAGAAAUGCAAAUUAAAAACAACACUGAGAUACUGUUUCUCACCUAUCAAAUUUGUAAGAAUUAAGAGGCAUGAUCAUGCAUUCCGUUGCCCGGGCUAGCUGGGAAGCAGGCACUCCCAUACAGUACUGGUGGAAUGCAAACCUGUAGAACCUUUCUGGAGAGGAGAACUCCUAAAAAUACUAUAUGUGCAUUUAUGUUUCACCUAUGGUCCCAUUUCUUAGAAAUUUGUCUUUCGACAAAUUCAAUUGACAAUUGUCUUUUGACUCUGAAGACAUGCCUCCAACAAUAUAAAAACACAUACAAACUUAUUAUUGUAAAGUACUGGAAAACUCUAAAUACUCAUUCACAGAACAGUGGUUGAAUAAACUUUGGUACAUUCGUGCAAUGGAGUACUAGGCAACUAUAGAAAACAAUAAGGAAGACCUCUUUGGACCAAUAUGAUGUGACUGCUGAAUAUAUUGUUAAGUGAAAAAAAGGUAACGGCAAAAGAGUAUCUUCAAGAAUCAAUGAGAGCUGGGAACAGCUCAUGUUCUGGGGAGGAGGCUGUGCCGGCCAUGGGGCUUUGGGUGUGUGAUUGACUGCAGGUGUGCUUGCCUUGUGGCAGCAGAAAAAGGAUGCACCAGUGAUCAACCCGUCUCUUAAAUAUGGUAAUCAGAUCAACAUCAUAGAUUUUAAUGAUAAAAGUAUCAUUAUAAAUGAAAACGUUAUCCAUCAAGUGGAUGAAAUUAGGCACAUUAAUGCCAGUCCGGCAGACAAAGGUGAGCUGGUGACAUUCUACAAUAAAAGUUAUUGUGUCUUCUCCUGA